rnacentral:lncRNA from 1 species
AAUUGGUUUCACAUUUGGCUCUGCAGCUGAAAGUAUUCACUGCCACUCCGGAUUCCCCAGCGGCAUACACCCAGUGGCUUCCGUGAAGCCCCAAGAAGUCGCAGUCAUACCAGCAGCACCUACCUUGUUUCGUGCACACGUCCGUUAGCCAAGGCUCCAGCAUGUCUACUGCGGGGCCGCCGAGACAUCACGCUAGCAGUGACACUGUGGACACGUAUGGUGUGGCGGGGUGCGUGGAAUUGUACGACGCAGUCAUUGCACCCUUCGCCCCCGCCGUCGCUGCCUUGCUGGAUUCUUUCGAGCAGGCGUUCCUGAAUACCACUGACCUCAAUGUGGGAAAGGCACUGGACGAGGCCCGAACUAAAGAGGAAAGCCAGUUCCUCGACGUCGGUUGUGGCUCGGGAAGCUUUACAAAGAAGCAUCUGCUGCCACGCCUGCCACCUUCGUGCAAGAGGCUCGUAGCGGUCGACAACUCAGAUGCUAUGCUGAAAUUUGCCGGCGAAAACCGCGCGGACCCUCGGAUUGAGUACCGCAAACUGGACAUCGUCGCAGGACGAGGACUGUCACACGGUUCGUGCAGGCGGAAGGUCAUUUCCAGAGAGUGUACUCCUUCCUCGCCUUCCACUGGAUAGCGGAUCAUCGCCAUGCUCUGAAGAAUGUCGAGACGCUCUUGGCGCCAGGCGGGGAAUGCUUCCUUCUCUUCUCUGCUGGCUGCUUGACCGUGUUCGACGUCUUCAUGGCCAUGAUGGAGUCGCCUAGGUGGAAGAAGUACUCUAAUAUUCUCCUGCGUGUGAUUCCGGAAACGAGAUUUCUAGAAGACAUUGGCUCACUGCGCUUAUAUCUGGUCAAUCUGGUGCGAGCGACGAACUUGGCUCCGCUCGCUUGCGAAGUCUUCCGUGCGACUGUAAACAUAGGAUUGAGCAGAGAGGCCGCUCUAGAUUUAUACACCAUUUUCAAUCCCAUUUACCAGCUGCUGAUCGAAGAUGAAAAGGCGGAGCUGCGCAAGU